UCCUGGGUGGCUCAGUCGGUUGAGCGUCCGACUUCAGCUCAGGUCAUGAUCUCGCGGUUUGUGGGUUCGAGCCCCACCUCGGGUU
rnacentral:tRNA from 1 species